rnacentral:rRNA from 1 species
AUGCAGCAAGGACAUCCAGUGGCAUAUCUGAGCACAGCUCUGGCUCCCAAGAACCUAGGACUGUCAGCCUAUGAGAAGGAAUGCCUGGCUCUGCUUCUCGCAGUCGAUCAUUGGCGGCCAUACCUUCAACAUGCCGAAUUCAUCGUGCGUACGGACCAGAAAAGAUUGCUGCAUCACAUGGACCAAAGGCUCAAUACACCAAUUCAGCAACGGGCCUUCACCAAGCUCAUAUGCCUGUAGUUUGUGAUCCAGUACAAAGCAGGGCUCUCAAACCGAGCAGCAGAUGCACUAUCCAGGAAAGCGCACAACACCCAAGCUGAGCUCGCAGUGAUCUCGAUAUGUAAACCAGCAUGGUUGGAGGCCAUACGACGCAGCUAUCAUACAAACGAGGGGAUUAAACAACGCAUGGCCAAGUUAGCUCUCGAUCCUCACAGCGAGCCAGACUAUGCAGUUCAGGACGGAGUGCUCCGCUUCAAAGGCCGCAUUUGGAUCGGGGACACUCUGGGUUCCAUGCUACUUAUCAUCGGGUGA